CAGAUGGGAAGGAAAAAAAUAGAAAGAAAAAAAAAGAAAAGAAAUGAAAAAGGAAAAAAAAAUAAGAGGAAAGGAAAGAAAGAAAAAAGAGAAGAUAUCGAGGGGAAUAGAAGGUUCGAGAGAAGAGAGCGGGGGGAAGAGAAGGUUAAAGAGAGAGAGAGAGAAGAGCCAGAGCAGAGAGGAACGAGAAAAGAGAGAGGAUGAGAAAGAGGACGAUGACGGAGCGAGCCACGGGAAGAAUGAAG
rnacentral:lncRNA from 1 species